UGGCUCUGGCAUCGAUGAAGAACGCAGCGAAAUGCGAUAAGUAAUGUGAAUUGCAGAAUUCAGUGAAUCAUCGAAUCUUUGAACGCACAUUGCGCCCGCCAGUAUUCUGGCGGGCAUGCCUGUUCGAGCGUCAUUUCAAACCCUCGGGCCCUUCCUCCCCCACCCGCUCUCGGGAGGGACGGACGGGCCCGGUGUUGGGGAUCGGCCGCCCGGUUCGCGGGCGCGCCGUCCCCUAAAUAGAGUGGCGGUCUCGCUGUAGCCUUCCCCCUGCGUAGUAGUAAACGCCUCGCACCGGGAACGCAGCGCGGCCACGCCGUUAAACCCCCCCCAAACCUCUGAAAGGUUGACCUCGGAUCAGGUAGGAAUACCCGCUGA
rnacentral:misc_RNA from 1 species